rnacentral:misc_RNA from 1 species
AUUUGCUAACUGUACUAGAGCUAGGCAAACCCAUAGGGCAAACCUCUCAUCAUGAUGUAAUUUUGGAAUAAAAUUGGUAAUAGGUAAUUUUGGAAUAGACAAGUAUUGAAGUAAGUCUGUCUAGAGAGGAACAUGGGAGUCCACGGACUAUGGGAAUUGAUUCAGUCGACUGGUCGACCUGUCAGCCUUGCUUCACUUGAAGGCAAGAUUCUUGGUGUUGAUGUAAGUAUUUGGCUACACCAGGCAGUUCGAGGUAUGCGAGACCAGCAUGGCACAAUGAUGCCAAAUGCUCAUUUAGUCAGCCUCUUCAAUCGAAUCUGCAAACUUCUCUUCUACAAGAUUAAACCUGUGUUUGUGUUUGAUGGUGGCGUACCUGAACUAAAGAAACAAACUACGGCUGCACGACGCGAGAAGAGUGGAACCGCUGAGAAGAAGUCAUUGAAGACAGCAGAGAAGAUUCUAUAUAACCUAAUACAUGGGCAGGCCAUACAAUCACAAAUAGACAAGUUGGAGGACGACCCAAAUGGAAAGUCUAUCCCAAGCAAAGCCACUAAAUCGCCUGUGUCUGCCCGUCAGGGUGACAAUGAUAUGUUCCAUUUACCACCGAUGACGAUUGAUCUGGAAGGGGACCAGAUCGCUGAGAGAAACGAGGACGAGUAUUCAUGGGAGGAGAGGAUGAUCGCACGCGGGGCGAUACACGACAGCUACUACAAUGUGAACGACGUCGAUGUGAACGCGUCCGACUUCUGCAGCCUCCCGCCGGAGCUCCAGCACGAGAUUCUCGUCGAGAUGAAAGAACGUAACAAGCAUCUUACCGAUACUGAAGAACUCCCGCAAGAAAGCAACGAGUUCUCCAGUUUUCAAAUCGGCGCGCUUCUCAAGCGGUCGAAACUCACCAAGCACAUAUACGACUUACGUAAAGAGAUGAGGAGCCAGAGCAGUGGAGACGUACCCGUGAUUUUAGGUAGAGAAGGGGGAGAAGUAGAGUGUCACCAGCUAGCAUCCGAGGCAUCCGCACACUACAUCCUUGUCAAAGGUCACAGCAAACUCAACCCAGGCACUUCCGCUGAUAGAAUCAACAUUGAACAAAAGGAGAAACCUACGGAAGAUGUUGGUCUGGAGGUACCUGUGGGCGAUGCCCCAGAUGUGACAUGUUCUCAACCAGGAAUCCUAAGUCACGAUGAGCAGCUGGAUGACAGCAAGUAUGCUGCUGCUGGCGGUUUUAUCGCAGACGACGAUGACGAUGUUGUCAGUCGGGUGAAUUGCGCUGAACCUGUGAUGUCGUGGGAUCGACAAGCUCCACCAGUGGCCACGUCAGUUGUUGAUACAAGCACACGCUCUCAGAUGAUCCCAUCAAUGGAACCCUCCGCAAGCCUCAAAACAAGUCGGAGUCCAGAUGCGAGAGAUAUAGUUUCCGACGCUCCUGAAAGAACAACGUUAAACGUAACGAGUCCAAAUGCUUCACCUAUAAAAUAUAGCAGUGGGAAACCAAUGGGACCGACCAGCCUGGAUUCAUCAGAUCAAAGUGUUAGUUAUAAGAAGGAGCCGGAGGGCAUGAAAGAGAGGAAGCCAGAUGGUGUUAGGGAGACUUCAGAACUCACAACGUCUAAUGACAACCAUGAAGCUGACUCAUCACAGGAUGAUGAAUUUAUUGAGGUAACAUUCAAUCCAAACCAAAUGACAGAAGAUGAACUCUUCCCAGCGAGUGUGUUUGAGGAAGCGGUGGAAGAUGCCUCAGAGACUGAGCACCCAGAGCCAUCUGGCGAGGAAAUCGGCCAUGAAAAACCUGAAUUAGUAACCCUGGAUGAUGACAGUGAAGCACUGAAGAGUGAAAUGUCUAAGGAGGAACUGAUUGACAUUCAGAACGUGUUGGAAGAGGAAGCGGUCGCACUGAAGAAGAGCAAUGUGCAGCAGAAGAAACAGGCUGCUACAGUUACUGAUUACAUGUACGCUGAUGCACAGGAGCUGUUGCAGUUGUUUGGGAUUCCUUACAUUGUUGCCCCUAUGGAGGCGGAGGCUCAGUGCGCAUAUCUCGACAUGACUGGGCAGACCGACGGAUCCAUCACAGACGACAGUGACAUCUGGCUGUUUGGAGCGAAACGUGUCUACAGAAACUUCUUCAAGCAGGACAAAGAUGUUGAGAGCUAUCGUGCUGAGGACUUGGUCACAGACCUUGGUCUGAGCCGACACAAACUCGUGAACAUGGCCCUCCUGUUAGGCAGUGACUACACGGCGGGGGUACGGGGCGUCGGAUCGGUGCUGGCCAUGGAGAUUCUAUGUGACUUACCAGCCAGUGACUCAUUCGAUGCUCUCCUCAAGCUCAGGACGUUAUAUGAUGAGAUGAAAGGCCAGGAGAAGAUACCACAGGAGACCAAAGUCAAGUCGAAAAUUAGAAAGUUGGAGUUAAACCCAGGUUUUCCCAGCAGGGCUGUCUAUGAGGCUUAUUGCGAGCCCACCGUUGAUGAAUCGAUGGAAGCGUUUCUGUGGUCGUCUCCCAGUCUGUGUGAUCUCCGGAUAUUUGCAGCAGAUCGACUCGGGUGGACAAAGAUAAAGACUGACAACCUGCUUCUCCCCAUCAUGAAAAAACUAGCCGAGACAUCGGUCAAGAUUGACAGAUUCUUCGUGGUUCAACCCUCCGAAAGACGUAAAUUGAAAAGCAAGAGAGUGAAGCGUGCCCUCACUCGUGCCAGAAACCACGAUUCACAAGGUGAACAGAGUGACAAGAGCAAAGUAGACGGGUGUGCCAAUGAUUCAGUAGGUCUGUCUGGGAAGAGCUCUGAUAGAGCUGGCAGCAGUAAUGAAACUUCAACAUCGAAACAGAUUAGAGAACUGAGACCCAGAGGUGAAAAGCAUGCUACUAAACGUGGUUUCACAUCAAAGGCUGAUCAUCCGCGAAUCAAGGUAGCGGUGAAACACAGUAAAAUUGAUCGAUCAUCAGCCAAUGUUGCUGCAGUAAAGUUAUCAGACAGUGGAAGUUCUUCCGAUUGACGAAUCUGAAGAAAUAUAUGACUAAUAUACAAUCUGAAAGCUAGAACUGGCAUUCGAGCAAGCUGUAUUUACAAGUCAGUAUGAUCUCAUUAAAUUAAUUAGAUCUAAAAUCUCCACUAUGUCCAACUAUGCAUUGAUUCGUUAAUUGAGAGUGUAAUAGAGAUGGCUUGGUUUUAUUUCGUCUUGUGAUUAAUUUAUUGCAAAGUAUUUCAUCCAGCAACUCGUGAAUUCAAUUCUUGGAAUUUAACUUUAUUGGAGUGAUAUUCACCCGUUAACUGCCAAAAGUGCUUUUUAAAAGUGUAAAUAGAGUAUAGAUAUAUUCGUCGUGUUGUGCGUAGCCACGCAGUCGGUCUGGAUUGUGUGGGGAUGUUUCUCGUUGAAUAUUAUAUUGUGAAACAUGAAUAAAAAUUCAAUUUAUGGCAUUUAU